rnacentral:rRNA from 1 species
GACGAACGCUGGCGGCGUGCCUAAUACAUGCAAGUAGAACGCUGAAGCGAGGAGCUUGCUCUUCUUGGAUGAGUUGCGAACGGGUGAGUAACGCGUAGGUAACCUGCCUUGUAGCGGGGGAUAACUAUUGGAAACGAUAGCUAAUACCGCAUAACAAUAGGUGACACAUGUCAUUUAUUUGAAAGGGGCAAUUGCUCCACUACAAGAUGGACCUGCGUUGUAUUAGCUAGUAGGUGAGGUAACGGCUCACCUAGGCGACGAUACAUAGCCGACCUGAGAGGGUGAUCGGCCACACUGGGACUGAGACACGGCCCAGACUCCUACGGGAGGCAGCAGUAGGGAAUCUUCGGCAAUGGGGGCAACCCUGACCGAGCAACGCCGCGUGAGUGAAGAAGGUUUUCGGAUCGUAAAGCUCUGUUGUAAGUCAAGAACGAGGGUGAGAGUGGAAAGUUCACACUGUGACGGUAGCUUACCAGAAAGGGACGGCUAACUACGUG